UGCUUUUGUCUUUCAUGCUGUGCCACGUGAUGAAAACAACACCUUUUGCUAGCUAAUAUCUACUCCACUUGCAUUAUCUAAAAAUGUAUAAAAUACAGUUGUUGAGGGUUUUUCUCAACGAGAGAUUAACAGCUGCUGCUGAGGAGAUAUUCGGGGUCGUUGAAAAAACGAUAGCAGAGUAUCAUGAGGAAGUUGUCCGUCUACAGAGGCUGCUCGACAUUGUUCUUCAACCUGAACCUGAUAUAACGUUAAAGCUACACAGAGCAGGUUUGUUAGCUACUCAGUACACAUUACUUUUGUCUAACUCAGGGGCGCAAUAGAGACAUCGAUAUGGAGGUAUAUCAUUGACAUAAUGAUUUGAGUGUGUAGAAUAGAUUUGUAUUUGUAAACACAAUUUGCAAGUGUGUAACUGAUGAGUUGUGAACAUGAAAUAAUAAUAUGUACAGUAGUUGUAAACACGUUCUCAAACGUGUAACUGAUGAGUUGUGAACAUGGAGAAAAAAAUGUGAUUGUAAUGGCAUUUGCAAACGUGCAAAGCAAUAAUUGCAUCUGUACACCUGCACAUAUCAAUUUCGCACCCUCAGACUUUUGGUAGAGCAAGAGAGAGAGACCUGUUUCUUCUAACCAAUCAGGUGAGGUUUUUCAUAGACCAGCAUACUCUACACUGUUUGGUUGAUGACAGCUCACAUGGGCUGUGUUGUCUGGCGCAACCACCUGUCAAUCACGACGUGCGUUACCAGGUUACCACUGAGACUGAUUGCACACCAAAGAAGCCCAGCUGUUAGUUGUCAUGGCUGGCUGCAAUCCACUCAGAGUUAGACGGGGUCCGUUCAGGCCUCCGUUAGCUCCACAAUGCCCUGGUGGACGUGAAAGACAUCCAUAACUCCUUGGAAAAAGCAUCAACACCAUUGAGAAUCUAAAGGAUGUAAAAUAUGCUGGGAUGCAACACAGUCAGCUAGCCUCAGCCGUGGAGAACCUGAAGAAUAUCUUCUCAGACCUCCAGCAACACACUCUCUCUGUCUGUGAAGAGGAGGU